rnacentral:rRNA from 1 species
GACGAACGCUGGCGGCGUGCUUAACACAUGCAAGUCGAACGAAGUGGCGAACGGGUGAGUAACGCGUAAUCAACCUGCCCUUCAGAGGGGGACAACAGUUGGAAUCGACUGCUAAUACCGCAUACUGAAGGAGGGGAUGGUGUCUGAUUAGCUAGUUGGAGGGGUAACGGCCCACCCAGGCGAUGAUCAGUAGCCUGUCUGAGAAGAUGAACGGCCACAUUGGUACUGAGACACGGCCCAGUAGCCUACGGGAGGCAGCAGUGGGGAAUCUUCGGCAAUGGAGGUAAGUCUGACGGAGCAAGGCCGGGUGAGUGAGGACGGCCUUCGGGUUGUAAAGCUCUGUUAAUCGGGACGCGGUACCGGAAUAGAAAGCCACGGCUAACUACGUGCCAGCAGCCGCGGUAAUAC